GGCAGCCUGGCCGAGUGGUUUCAGCGCCGGACUCUGACCCUGGGGACCAGGGUUCGAAUCCCCGCUCCGGCA